rnacentral:lncRNA from 1 species
UCAAACGAGAGAUAGCCCGUUUGUUUAUAAAUAGGAAUCAGAUACGCCGGCUGUCGAAUAUUAUUCAAACCCCCUCUAUUGGAUUUUUAACGCGGUUUUUACGGUUGCAUACCUGCAAUUUUUGCUGUGAUGGUUUAAUAAGUAGGCUAUGGAUUUUUUUUUGCAAAGUUUCUACAAGAUUUAUUAUACGAGAUUCAAAACAUCUCAUUAACAAAUACACGGUACCAAUUAUUUAGAUACAUUGAUAACAUCACGAAACAUGCUCAAGUAUUCCUUGUGCGAUAAGCAACUCACACUGGACACGAGGCAAUAAGUGUUCUGAGUGAGAUCAAGUGAAUAACUACCUUCACCUAUAGAUUUCAUAUAUGCUGCAAGGGAUUUGUUGUAUUUCAUGAAGAACUGAGCUUCAGGCUCACAGAUGUUUGCCUUUAUAUCUGCAGGAAGAACUGAACCAAAAUGCCAGCGAUGUUCUUUUAUUCUUUCAAGUCUGUUAUAAAGGUAGGCCAUCAAACACCUAAAACAAUAUUUAAUUAACUGAUAAUAAUAAAUAUUUUCAUUUUCCAAGUUUACCUCUUAUUUCUUUCUAGAGCACAGUGCCGAAUAUGCACUGAAGUAAUGUAUUCUGACUCCCCUGCUACAGCAGAGCUCCUGGAGAAAUACAUUAUUAUUCACCUUCUUUCUUCAUUUGAUUUCUUUCAAAUGAGCUUACGCAUCUCUUUGAUUUUCUUCAAACAAAGCUCUCAUCUCCUCCAGUACCUGGCGAACUCCAUCUUCCUGCCAGAAAGUCGGUUAGAAACAGGAAAGAAAUGUUUUCAGAGGAUAAAAGAAGUUGGGUUACGUUGAAGGGUGGAAGAAAGUCUUUUGCUCUUUCGAGUUCCUGUAUGAGCUCAACUCCUUUUUGAGCGAACAUUUUGACGUAACGAUGAUUCCUUCAACCAUCACUUUAUAAACACAAAAAAGGACGGCGACUUUGGCGGGAACAAGGAUUACUUAAUUCUCAUGGCCCAUCGCACCACAACAAAGCUAAAUUUUUAGCAGCGAUUUACUACGUACAGGUUGCUAGCGCCACCGGUGGCUGAAAGAUGCACACAGUUGCAGAAAACCAGAAAUGCAAACAGCCAGACACUUCUGUCACUGCCUCACUGGCAAUGUCACUACUCACUGUAUUUAAAGUUUUAAACCAACAAAUAUUGACUCUAAUGCUUUUUUAUUUGAUUUUAAUCAUUUGUGCAGAAAUAUUUUUAUAACUUCCUUGUUCAAUCUUCAAACGAGGCUCCAUCCAUAGUAGCAGGAAUGCUGUCCCGAAUCGACACAAAAGCGUUUUGUUUUCUAAGAUGGCUGAUAACACAACGUUGUGAAUAGUAUAACCAAUUACUUUAAACAAACCGUGCGUACGAACCUUACGUAACUGUUAAUAUCAGGCAACCCUAAUCCAAAAAUAUGGAGUAAAGAUCUUGAAACUCAGAGUAAAUUAUUAUGUCAAUUUAGGUUAUAUAUUUAAGUUGUCGCGCCAAAACCUCCGUGCUAGAUUUUUUUCCUUGUGGAAGUGGGAAAAUAUUUUCUAACGGACGAGAAUGAACAAAUGCAAUUCUUUGAAGAUCGCUUAUAGGACUGUGAUUUCUUCAUGUGCCAAACACAGAACAUGCUAUAAUAUAUGAAACAAAGUAGUUAGUCACAAUGUAUCAUCGGGAUACUUGUCCAGUAUUUUUCUCUGAAGCAACCGAACAAUGACCCCCGAAGGGAACGUGUCAGUCGAGAAUAUCUAUAUAUCUCUUAUCGAAGGUAAGUCAUUGGGACAAACGAUUCAAAUGCGUGAGCAUAACAAAUGGAUGGCGAGAAUUGACUAGGUUGCUUGAUAACGGGUCAAGCGGAAGAAGCGUGGAAUGUCACUAUUCUGAAGACAAUUCAGGUUGUUCUAUUAGGGAUUCACGCUGUUCUCCGUCGUCAGUAUCGUUCAUAAACCGGUUUCUAUCAACGAAAAUCCAAGAUCUUUGAAUGACCAACGGAAUGAAAAAUUGAAAUACAAAGAAUUUACCUAUUGCGUGAACGGCAAGAAUCAACGAUGCGGUUGAGUAGCUGAGCAACGGGGUCCCACUCUUCCCAGUGAGACAAAAGCGUGACAGCAAAGAAACUGAGAAACAUCGGAAUGGAACCGAUGUAGAACAAGAAUGGAUAGGAAAUGUGUUUGACCGCCACAUCAGCCAGCAUCGACAGAGGGAUAGUCAGACUCAUGGCCAAUGUGGCAAUUAGCGAUGACGUCAGAAAGCAGCCCCUAAAAUUUUGAUAACUUUAAGUAAAUUUCUACAGCCUCCCGUUAAAUUUUCUUCUAUGCGAAACUUUGAACACAUCCUUUUGGCCGAAGACGACGCACAGUGUUGGCCUUAACAGCAUUUUUGAAAUAGUAUUGAAUCUUUUUCGAGCUCUUCCUCAUACUAUGCCUAACAGGCUAGCACUAUGCGGAAAAAGUUUCGUUUCCUUGUGUCUCAAAGAUAAUCAUAGAAGAAAAUUACAAGCAUGAUUGUACGUGAGCAAAUGAAUUAAACGCGAAGUAACAGACAUUCUAUUCUAUGUAUACUACUAGGAACACUUUUACCAUAGCCAUAGGAACUCCGAGAGAACGGUGCCAAUAAGUCCGUUCAACGCAAUGUACAACCACUGCUGCUGUGUUGGCCAUACAAAUAUUUCCAGUUUGGUAGCAUGGAGGAUGAAGAAGGAUGGCCACAUCACGAUAGUGUUUAUAAGUCCAACGAAGCC